GCAGCAGGCACGCAAAUUACCCACUCCCGGCACGGGGAGGUAGUGACAAAAAAUAACGAUACGGGACUCUAUUGAGGCCCCGUAAUCGGAAUGAGUACACUUUAAAUCCUUUAACAAGGAUCCAUUGGAGGGCAAGUCUGGUGCCAGCAGCCGCGGUAAUUCCAGCUCCAAUAGCGUAUAUUAAAGUUGUUGCGGUUAAAAAGCUCGUAGUUGGUUCUGCGUGCCACGCUGUCGGUUCGCCGCCUGUCGGUGUAACUGGCAUGUCGUGGCAUGUCCUGUCGGUGGUGAACAGAAUCCCCGGUACGAUGUAGGCUUUAUUGCCGAAGUCUGUAUCGUGCGUGAUUCUGUUUGCCGAUCUCUCCUACUCCGGUGCUCUUAAACGAGUGUCGAGGUAGGCCGACACGUUCACUUUGAACAAAUUAGAGUGCUUAAAGCAGGCUAAAAUAUCUGCCUGAAUAGUGGUGCAUGGAAUGAUAAAACAGGACCUUAGUUCUAUUUUGUUGGUUUUAGGGAUAUGAGGUAAUGAUCAAUGUGGACUGGCGGGGGCAUUCGUAUUGCGACGUUAGAGGUGAAAUUCUUGGAUCGUCGCAAGACGCACUAGAGCGAAAGCAUUUGCCAAGUAUGUCUUAAUUGAUCAAGAACGAAAGUUAGAGGUUCGAAGGCGAUCAGAUACCGCCCUAGUUCUAACCAUAAACGAUGCCAGCCAGCGAUCCGCCGAUGUUCCUUUAAUGACUCGGCGGGGAGCUUCUACCCGGGAAACCAAAGCUUUUGGGUUCCGGGGGAAGUAUGGUUGCAAAGCUGAAACUUAAAGGAAUUGACGGAAGGGCACCACCAGGAGUGGAGCCUGCGGCUUAAUUUGACUCAACACGGGAAACCUCACCAGGCCAGGACAUUGGAAGGAUUGACAGAUUGAUAGCUCUUUCUUGAUUCAGUGGGUAGUGGUGCAUGGCCGUUC
rnacentral:rRNA from 1 species